UGGCAGCCCAUGGGGUGGUACUGCAAGAUAAAUGACCUUCAAAUUUAGCAGAUAAAACGACCGGCAGAUAAAGUCCCGACGGAGGAGAAGCGCUCAGCUCCUAAGUGUUGGUACCAAAGUGUUUCCUGAAGUACCAGAUGUUUCAAGGAGGAUGAACCUCAACCUCCCCAAAAGAUGGUGUAAGAGCGAGGACACAACAUGUGGGGUGAACGAAGGCUGAUGAGGUCUUUCUGCCCCUCGCUGGCAAGCUGUCCAGGUACAUUCUGGGCUUGGCUACAGGCCAUACCAAUAGGAAGCACAUUGCCAGGCUCUGCAAACCGUACGCAGCCCACCCUGAGCCCGGAGCUCCAGCCUGCUGUCUGCCGAGCCUGGGGUGUGUCCCCUGGAAGCCCCAGCACAGUUCACUGCUACCCCUGCAGCCUAUCACACCUCCCAGCGUCCUGCACCCCAGGCCCCAGUUCGGCCCCAGGCGCAUGUCACCGCCUCUUAGGACACGAUGCCCCCGGGUGUGAAAGUCCGAAGGAAACGGAUGACUGCUGCCUGCCUUUCUUUCUGCGGCUGCUUGUCAAAACCGCAGUAAUAAUGAGAGUCGUCACCAUUUAUUGGGAAAGUGGGUGUUUACACGUUCUCUCAUUUAAUCCUCACGUGGGCCCGAUGAGGCAGGUCCUCUUUCUUUGUUCUACAGACAGGCAAGUCGGACCUGGAGAAGUGACAUGA
rnacentral:lncRNA from 1 species